UACGUAGGGCGCGAGCGUUGUCCGGAAUUAUUGGGCGUAAAGAGCUCGUAGGCGGCUUGUUGCGUCGACUGUGAAAACCCGCGGCUCAACCGUGUGGUUUGCAGUCGAUACGGGCAGGCUAGAGUUCGGUAGGGGAGACGUGGAAUUCCUGGUGUAGCGGUGAAAUGCUUAGAUAUGACAUAGAACACCAAUUGCGAAGGCAGCUGGCUACAGGGAUAUUGACACUGAGGCACGAAAGCGUGGGGAUCAAACAGG
rnacentral:rRNA from 1 species